CCUACGGGCGGCAGCAGUGGGGAAUAUUGGGCAAUGGGCGCAAGCCUGACCCAGCAAUGCCGCGUGAAGGAAGAAGGCUUUCGGGUUGUAAACUUCUUUGACAGGGGAAGAGCAGAAGACGGUACCCUGAAAACAAGCCACGGCUAACUACGUGCCAGCAGCCGCGGUAAUACGUAGGUGGCAAGCGUUGGCCGGAUUUACUGGGUGUAAAGGGCGUGUAGCCGGGAAGGCAAGUCAGAUGUGAAAUCUGGAGGCUCAACCUCCAAAUUGCAUUUGAAACUGUUUUUCUUGAGUACUGGAGAGGCAGACGGAAUUCCUGGUGUAGCGGUGAAAUGCGUAGAUAUAAGGAGGAACACCAGUGGCGAAGGCGGUCUGCUGGACAGCAACUGACGGUGAGGCGCGAAAGCGUGGGGAGCAAACAGGAUUAGAUACCCUUGUGUC
rnacentral:rRNA from 1 species